rnacentral:lncRNA from 1 species
AUGGUUUGUCAUUACAAGACAAGGUCUGCCCAGCCAGGUGGAUCUACCUUGCCCCCAUCACCUGCCGCCCCCAUCAAACAUGUUGGGACAAUGCCCAUAGGAAUGGACCUCCUUCCCCGUCUCCAGCUGGGACUGGCGUUUUUUAGUCUCUGGAGUAUGAUGGUUCUCAUGGGUAGGAUGAGAUCUUUGGCAGAAAGGUCUUCGGUGGUGCUCUGAGCCUGCGCUGCAUAGGACUGAGCAGACCCACCUCCUCCAGCUUGGGUGGCCCUGCCACUCCUGGUUCCAAGUCUCUCCUUUCCUGGCAGGUCUUAAGGGAAGAUUGUACCCCUCACCCUUUACAUACCCAGAAUCAUCAGUAUGUCACUUCCUAAUUUCUAUCAGUGUAUCUCAUUAUUUCAUACUGUUUUACUAA